UGUCCGGUCUUCCUGCCGCGCUCUGGCCACUCCCUCCAGCGACUCCUCGCGGGCAUGGCGGCGCUGGCUUGCGGACGGUGCCUCCCUCGAACGUGGCUCUGCAGGAGAGCCGGGCAGGGUGGCCGGCACUACCGCGCCGCGCUCUGCGCCGAGCUGAAGCAGCCCCUGGCCAUAGAAGAGGUGGCCCGUCGCCCUGUCCGACCGCACGAGGUCAGGGUUGAUGUCCAUUUCUGUGGCGUUAACUUUGCUGACAUUUUGGUCUGUCGUGGCCAAUAUCAGGAGAGGCCCCAUCUUCCCUUCACACCUGGAAUGGAGUUUUCUGGGACGGUUCUGGAGACGGGCACAGAUGUCAGCUCAGUGAAAGAGGGAGAUCGAGUCAUUGGUGUGAGUAGCUUUAAUGGAAUGGCUGAAGAAUGCAUCACUGACCAGAAGACCCUGUGGCAGGUUCCGGAAAAGGUCUCCUUACAAGAAGCUGCUACCCUACCUGUAUCUUAUGGCACUGCUAUUCUGGCUCUAGAGCAUCGGGCUCAGACCAAGCCUGGAGAAACUGUUUUAGUGACAGCAGCAGCUGGAGCUACGGGCCUUGCAGUGAUAGAUGUGGCAACAAAUGUUCUUCAGGCCAAGGUAAUAGCUGCGGCUGGAAGUGACCACAAGUGCCAGCUGGCGGUGCAGAGGGGCGCGCAGGCCAGCGUGAACUACAGCCAGGGCGGCCUGAAGGAGGCGGUGAGGCGGCUGGCGGGCAGCGGCGGGGUGAACGUGGCCAUCGACAUGGUGGGAGGAGAGGUCUUCCUGGAGGCUCUCCGCAGCCUGGCGUGGGAGGGCAGGAUGGUGGUGCUGGGGUUUGCUGGAGGAAAUAUUGCCUCUGUACCAGCUAACCUGCUGCUCCUGAAGAACAUCUCUGCCAUGGGCCUGUACUGGGGUCGGUACCGGGAGCAGGACUUCCCCGUCUUCUACAGGAGCCUGUCGUCGGCACUCCAGUACCUGCAGCAAGGGCGCAUCCGGCCGCACGUGGGAUCCGUGUUCAGGCUGGAGGAGAGGUGGGAUCUUGCUGUGUUACCCAGGCUGGCCUUGAGCUCCUGGAUUCAAAGGAGCCUCCUGCCUCAGCCUCCCAAGUAGAUGGAACUCUAGGCACUGACUGCCACACCUGGCUUCCUUUAUAUUUUAUGUCACACGUCAGGAUUUACUAUUUACAAAGUCUCCUCUGCAUUGGGUGCACAUCAGGUCAAUGAUGCCUUCCUUCACGUGAUACAGCGCAAAUCCACGGGCAAGGUUCUUCUCUCUCUUAAAUAAAUCCUUACCUCCACCCCAAACUCGGCAUGUCUGAAUCCAAACUCGCCAUCUCUCCCCAAACCUGAUUUCCUCCUGUGUCUCUAAAGGCAUUACCACUUUCUUUACUAAUCCAGAUUUAAAACUGGCUCUGGUUUCUUACUGCUUAUAGUUGGUGUGACCAUAGAAGAGAGGACUUGGACCUUUUUGAGAGUGAAAGGGUGCUAUUAGUAAUCACACCAGAUACAGGUGUCCUCGGCAGCAGGAUGCUCAUCUUGUAUAAAAUGCAUUCAUUGCCAGUCUGCAGUCCCACCCUGAGGUCUCUCUCACCUCCAGAUCCUCCCUUCCCAUCUGAUUGAUUGUCUUAUCUGUUUCCAGCAGUCUUCUCACUGGCUUCCUUCACAGAGUUAUUGUGAGCAAUACAGGCAGGGAUUGGGGAAUGCACCUAGCAUGUAGUGAGGGUUUAGCAAUAUGAAAGUCAUUUGCAGAUUACUCUCAUUCUUUCUUUCCUCCUUUCCCAGUAUAUUGUAAGUUCCUUGGGAGCAAGUAUCUUGUCUGAUUCAUGUUUGUGACUUCCCAUACUACCUCCCAUAGUAAGUGAACCUGGGUAAGCAUGCAAUUGAAUUUGAAUGACUUGAAACUCUUAAAUCAUAGGAUUAAAUUAAGAAUAUGUUGCCCUGAAGACAACCCAGAUGUCCAUCAGUUGGUGAAUGGAUAAAUAAAAUAUGAUCUGGACAUACUGUGGAAUAUUAUUCAGCCUUAAAAAGGAAUUAAACUCAGAUACUGGCUACAACAUGGAUGAACCUUGACAACGUUACAUGUGAAAUAAGCCAAAUGCAAAAAGACAAAUACUCUGUGGUUCCACUUAUAUGAGAACCUAGAAGAGUCAGAUUUAUAGAGAUGGAAAGUUGAAUGGUGGUUUCCAGGGGGAGAGGAAAAUAGGGAGUUAUUGAAUGGAUGUAGGGUUUGGUGUGGGAGGGUAGAGAGGCUUCCGAGGUGAUGGUUGUGUUCCAGGGGGAGUGUACUCAGUGCUUCUGAAAUGUACUUGUAAAAAUGGUUAAAAUGGAAAAAAAGGUUAAAAUAAAAAAUGGUGAAAAUGGUUAAUUUUGUUAUGUUUUACCAUAAGAA